rnacentral:rRNA from 1 species
AGUGAGGAAUAUUGGUCAAUGGGCGCAAGCCUGAACCAGCCAUGCCGCGUGAAGGAUGAAGGCGUUCUGCGUUGUAAACUUCUUUUAUUGGGGAAGAAACCUAUUUUUUCUAAAGUAGCCGACGGUACCCAAGGAAUAAGCACCGGCUAACUCCGUGCCAGCAGCCGCGGUAAUACGGAGGGUGCAAGCGUUAUCCGGAUUUACUGGGUUUAAAGGGUGUGUAGGCGGACUUUUAAGUCAGCGGUGAAAUCUCCGGGCUCAACCCGGAAACUGCCAUUGAUACUAUUGGUCUUGAAUGUUGUUGAGGUGGGCGGAACGGGUCAUGUAGCGGUGAAAUGCAUAGAUAUGACCCGGAACACCGAUUGCGAAGGCAGCCCACUAAGCAAUGAUUGACGCUGAGGCACGAAAGCGUGGGGAUCAAA